UACGGAGGAUGCAAGCGUUAUCCGGAAUGAUUGGGCGUAAAGAGCGUGUAGGCGGCCAGACAAGUCUGCUGUGAAAACUCGAGGCUCAACCUCGAGCUGUCGGUGGAAACUGUCUGGCUAGAGUCCGGAAGAGGAGAGUGGAAUUCCUGGUGUAGCGGUGAAAUGCGCAGAUAUCAGGAAGAACACCGGUGGCGAAAGCGCUCUGCUGGACCUUAACUGACACUGAGGGACGAAAGCUAGGGGAGCGAAUGGG
rnacentral:rRNA from 1 species